CCUCUGAAAAAGCUCAUGCAGCUUAUGAAAGAAACAGUUGUGGAAACUUUAUAAUUCAUCUGUAAAGAACUCUAGACCUGGCAGCUUUGUUUGGGCAAGAUUCACAAACAUUCUUGAUUAGAAUGUUCAGCAGAGUGCGCGUGGAAAAUUCUGACUCCCAGGCUCCCCCUUCCUCACCAGGGCAGAAUCUGCAGGGGAAGGUUUGUAACAAGCACGCCAGAAGAGUCUCGUGAUGAGGAUAAUUUAGGAACUAUUUGGGUGUCAGAUGAUGACGAGCUAUCCUUGUUUUAAAGCCCCCUGUGCUGCCUGUUGUCUUCACGUCACUCAAACAUUUCGAGCUAAAUGGCUAUCAGUCAAGACUGGUGCCACACAGCCAGAAGAUUUACAUGUACAACUAUUAUCUAAGUCUCAAGGACUUUUUUCCAUUCUGCAUAACCUACCCAGCUUUCAGGAUUUAUAUUUAUAUUCAAAAGGGGGGCAUGAGGAAGUGUAACAUCCAGCCAGUCUUCGAGCACCGCACUGUAAUGCAGAGUCAGGUAUUUCUAAGAAUUAUCAGGCCUACACUGGACUUUCUUCAUGGGAAAUAUUUAAGGCAUUGUC
rnacentral:lncRNA from 1 species